rnacentral:rRNA from 1 species
UACAGAGGGGGCAAGCGUUGUUCGGAAUUACUGGGCGUAAAGGGCGCGUAGGCGGCCUUCUAAGUCGAACGUGAAAUCCCCGGGCUCAACCCGGGAACUGCGUCCGAUACUGGAAGGCUUGAAUCCGGGAGAGGGAUGCGGAAUUCCAGGUGUAGCGGUGAAAUGCGUAGAUAUCCGGAGGAAUACCAGAGGCGAAGGCGGCCAACUGGGCUUGUUCUGACGCUGAGGUGCGAAAGCGUGGGGAGCGAACAGG